rnacentral:rRNA from 1 species
CCUACGGGGAGCAGCAGUGAGGAAUCUUGGUCAAUGGCCGAGAGGCUGAACCAGCCAAGUCGCGUGAGGGAAGACGGCCCUACGGGUUGUAAACCUCUUUUGUCGGGGAGCAAAGCGACCCACGUGUGGUUCAUUGAGAGUACCCGAAGAAAAAGCAUCGGCUAACGCCGUGCCAGCAGCCGCGGUAAUACAGAGGAUGCGAGGGUUAUCCGGAUUGAUUGGGUUAAAAGGGUGCGCAGGCGGAGGUGCAAGUUAGCGGUCAAAUUGCGGGGCUCAACCCCGUACUGCGGUGGCAACUGCAUGCCUUGAGUGCGCGAGAGGUAUGCGGAAUGCGGGGUGUAGCGGUGAAAUGCAUAGAUAUCACGCAGAACUCCGAUUGCGAAGGCAGCAUACCGGCGCGCAACUGACGCUGAGGCACGAAAGCGUGGGUAUCGAACAGGAUUAGAUACCCUUGUAGUC